UACGUAGGGAGCAAGCGUUGUCCGGAAUCAUUGGGCGUAAAGCGCGCGUAGGUGGCUUCGUAAGUCCGUUGUGAAAGUCAAAGGCUCAACCUUUGAAAGCCGAUGGAUACUGCGGAGCUAGAGUACGGAAGAGGCGAGUGGAAUUCCUGGUGUAGCGGUGAAAUGCGCAGAUAUCAGGAGGAACACCAAUGGCGAAGGCAGCACUCUGGGACGUGACUGACGCUGAGACGCGAAAGCGUGGGGAGCAAACAGG
rnacentral:rRNA from 1 species